UGCAUCCCUGGUGGUGAGACGUGUUCCAGGCUGAAAGAAGAAAGAAGAAGCCGAAAGAAAAAGAAGAAAGUGUUCCUCAAAAUUGGAGGCUCUUCACCAAUGGCCUUAUGGCCCAAUUUAAUUUGAGGGCAAGGGGAAAAGGCCUUUGGAGGGAACAAAGGUUUAUAGAGCUAUACAAGGAGGGAUAAUGAAAUUUAACUCCACAGCCACGGAGGAGUACAUUAGAGCAAAUUUGUCUGAGCACCUCAAACAUGCGCCACAGAGACAUGGAGGUGGAGGAUUCUCGAUGCCCGGACAACCACCUGCCAGCCACUGAAGAAAACUUUAUUGCAAGUAAUUGUUUGUUUAUAUUUGAAUAAAAAUUGAAAUGGG